CACUGGGAGCAGAGCUCCACUGCUCUG
rnacentral:piRNA from 1 species